UUUUCAAGAAAAAGAAAAUACAGUAUGCAAAAAUCAUCAAGCAAGAUAAUAACAUUUUUCUCAAAAGCAAUUCUAGGAAGUAGGAGAGAAUGGAUUAAUUACUUAAUAGUUUGAUUGUACUAUAUUUUUAUCUUCUGCCCUCCUAUGCUGCAUUCUGGAUAGUUUUUCACAUAGCUUUCAUUUCACUAAUUCUCCUGCCAGUUACAUCUAGCUGAUUAAACUGGUCAAUUGCAUAGUUAAUUUCAACUGCUAUUUUUUUCCUUUCUAGAUGAUCUAAUUAUUCAUUUUUUAAACACUAAUUUGUUUUUUUUCAGUUGGGUUUUGCAUUUGCCAAUUUUUUCCGAUUACUUUUUGCUACUGUAUUGCUCAUUGUCAUUGACAGUGUAUUUUUUUCUAGUAGUCUUUGAAGAGUAAUCUGAAGACUCUAUGAUCCAAGGGGUUCUAGAGAAGCCAUUAGUCUAGGACCACUUUAAAAAAUAUUUACGAGUUGGAGAUUUCUGGACCAUCCCUGGGGCCACAAGUUUGAAUCGCAGAUCUGUUGAAGGAUUGGUUACGGUUUCAACUUCUCAGAAGUAGUGUUCCUUGCCAUUUUCCACAACUUCAGGCAAACUCCACACCCACCAGGGGUGGACGCAGAAGUUACUCCGGUUCACUCUUUAAGGGUGCAGGCAGCCCUUUAGGGUCCAGAUGGUUGGAACAAGGAUGCAUCUCAGGACAAAGCAGCUCCACGUCCUCUCUGAGUCCUCAUUCCCCUUGCAUUUUACCCUAAAUAAUUCCUUACUGUUUUGCCACUUUCUCCAUGUUCUUAAGGACACGUGCAUGAAUUCCCGCAGGGCACAGGGCCUGCCGUAUUUAUGCUCAUCUUGAGGGGGAAAGUUUGGUCGAAAUAGCCCCAUGCUGCCAUUUUCCAGAUACAGAAAUCCUGUCAAAAUUCCUAGAGAAAAAGUUUUUCAACUUAGACUCUGUCAUUCAGCCAAACGAUGAAUCACUGCACAAGACGUCUGAAGACAUGUAAAUAAAUAUCUCAGAAAAUAGCAGCACCCUUCGCCCUUCCUCAGGAAGCUUCAGGAAGCUGUGCUCUGUUGCAACAAAGCCAAGAAAGCUAAAGAAAUGAAAUCCAGGAAACAGGCUGCCCGAUGCGAAGUAGGAGAAAGAGACAGCCCAACGUUACGGCCAUGGGGGUGUCCCAGGGCCACAGAUGCACGAGUGACCCAGGAGCUCCUGACCCAGGCUGCGGCUGGAGGACAGAGGUCUCCGGAGCAGCAGUCCCAGGAAAACAGAGAAACUGAGGCGGUGCACAGCUUGCGCGGUCCCGAGACGCAUUGCCAGCGGGGAGCUGCACGUGCAUGAACUUUACAAAGCAUAGAAAAUGAAGCAAAUUUUUAAAAGAAGACAUCUGUCAUCUCCAGGUUUGCACAAUCAGCGAAACCUAAUCUUACCAAGCCACACAUUUAAUAAGAACAUAAUUAAUGAUCGCGUGGCCUUAAUAAGGUCCAUGGCGGCACCUGGUGGCAGAAUAUACCUCCUGCGAACGGGGAGAGAGAGAGCUGGGGAUGAUCCUAAUGAUGUCACCGCACCCCUAAAUAGCACCGCCUAGAAUUAAUGCCCUGGUUAAUGAAAUUAUACAUGUAGGCUGAGGCUAGGGUGGACAGGACCUGGAGACUGUCCAGCAGGCUGCAUCCUGCUGAAUCCACGCUGUUGGGGAGGACUUUCUUCUACCCAUGCACACCUUUGGGCCCAACCUGCAAAUCCCCAUCCCUGCUGCCUCCCGGGACU